AUGUGCAGAGGGUGGAAAUGCUGCGUCUGUGUUUCUUUCCUCUCUGGGCCUUCGGAACACUUUCAGUCUAGCGGCGGGGCGGCGCGCAUGCGCGCGCCGGAUGGGGGACACCCCGGUCCCACGGCUCCGUGGGCCUCGUCUGUCUCCGGUGGGGGGAUGGGACGAGCGCCGGCGGAGCGGACGGGGUGGCGGCGAGCGCGCGGCCCUGGACUCCGCGCCGGCGGUACCGGCUCCCGCCCGGCCCGCGGCCCAGGCGCGCCUUUAAAUAAAGCCUGCAGCUCGGGGCAGCGGGGAAGAUGCCGGCUGCGCCCGGCCCGUGGCACGAGGACGGGAGCGCGUGGUGCGAGCAGCUGGAGCACACCCCGGGCGCGGGCGCCCCGGGCCUUCAACCCGGCACUAGGUGAGCGUGUGCGACACGCGGAAGGGGCCUGGGGGUCCGCAGAGGCGCGCGUGGACGGCGUGGGGGGCUUUGCCUUCUCUUUUGCAUUCGAAGACCUUACAGUGGCCGCCCGGCGUGCGCGAUGUGUACCAGAUGACCGGCGAACUCCGGAGAGGUGGUAAGUGUGCCGGGCGCGCCCUCCGACCCUGCUGGGGCGCAGUUUUGCCGAGUGGAGUCGGCAAAUACUCUGCGCUAAGAGUCCGGUUGGGAGUAUGGUUUUUGUUGUUUUUUUGUUUUGUUUUGUUUUGUUUUAAGCAGAGACUAAAUAACUUUGUGGGACUAGAAACUCGAUUUAAAGAAGAAAAAGGGUACUCCUGGUUCUUUUUUUUUUUCCUCUAUUAACUUGAAUCUUCCUCCCCCAUAGAAAAUUUGAGUUUACAUUUAAGUGUAAUGAUGAUGAAUCAGUCGAAUUUUAAUUUAAAGAUGGGAUUAGUGGCAUAUGGGGUACCAUGACGGCAACCCGACAUGUAAAACUCCCUCAUUUGGUAAACCUACUACAGAUUUUGGACUCUGAUUUUUGCCUCUUUUGACAAAACUUAACCCAUCGUGGAAGAGGUAGGGAAACCUUCUGAGCCCUUUUCAAAUGGGGGCUCACUUCCUUCCUGCAUGUUCUUAGGUAAAAUAAGCACUUGGAAAUGGGAGAAGGUUUUACUUAUGGACGAUAAUGACAUGAAGGAAAGGAGAGCUAAUCUGCCUUCUUUGGGUUUAAUGGAGAAAAUGGGUCCAUAAAUGUUUAAACAGAACAAGAGCCCUUUGAAAUAGAUCAAAAUGUGACAUCUCUGGGCCAUCUGUGCAUUAUUUGAAGGGCGCGGGAGGCUAAGUUUCUUAAACCAGCUCUAAAAUUUUUCAUUUUCUAUUAAUGGGGUGGGGGCGGGGACUAUGCAUUUAAUCUAACAGUCACGUUUUGUAUAGAGGCUCCACCUCAAGAAGCACGUACCCUGAUUCGUGCAUGCAUCCUGCUCUGGACACGCCUCUUCUAAAAUCAGGAUGCAGAUGAUGAGCCUGCAGACGCACUGGGAUGCAGAUCUCAAGUUUUCUGAAGUCCCCAAUCGGCUUAUACUUCAGAAUCCGGCUUUUGCACCCGCCAGUGUUAUUUGCGUGCAAUGCUGUGUAAAUAAUUCA
rnacentral:lncRNA from 12 species